UACGGAGGGUGCAAGCGUUAAUCGGAAUUACUGGGCGUAAAGCGCACGUAGGCGGCUUGUUAAGUCGGAUGUGAAAGCCCCGGGCUCAACCUGGGAAUGGCAUCCGAUACUGGCAAGCUAGAGUACAAGAGAGGGUGGUAGAAUUUCUAGUGUAGCGGUGAAAUGCGUAGAUAUUAGAAGGAAUACCGAUGGCGAAGGCAACCCCCCUGGGCCUGUACUGACGCUCAUGCACGAAAGCGUGGGGAGCAAACAGG
rnacentral:rRNA from 1 species